rnacentral:lncRNA from 1 species
UGGUACUUGACUGAUAGCAAUAGGCUUUGGUUUUCGGAACCUGUUCAUCAUAUUUGGCCAAUAGAUAAUACGGGGUUUCCAUACCAGCCUUUCGACCUCAGGUAUUAGCCGUAUUUUAUUUCAUUAAUUGUGGGUUUUCCAUACUGGUCUUUCGACCUCAGGUAUUUGCCACCAUGUGUUGGGUCCGCCGGUCCCUCCCGCGUCCCUUGCCUACUCGACCAUCAAUCAAGUACCAUACUCCCAUUUUUUAAAACAUAUUCUUUCAUAUCCCUAUGACUCGUCAAUCAUUCAAACAUCGUGAAGAACACGUAGCAAAAGUCACAUUAAAGCACACAUAAUUAGGUUCUUAUGAUGAGCAAAUGAAUGCUUCAACUUACCUCAAGUUCAAUAUGGUGUAUGAAGUGAAAAGAUCAGUCUCAUAUAGGUUGUGCUAGAGUCCUUGUUUAGAGAUGAAUUCAAACUUCAAAA